GCUGGCUUAGAUCAAUGGUAGAUCGUCUCCCUCCUAAGGCUGGUCCCCUUGCGAGGAGAAGGUUGCGGGUUCGAGUCCCGUGGUUAGUG